rnacentral:rRNA from 1 species
CAGUCGCCGCGGUAAUACGUAGGGUGCGAGCGUUAAUCGGAAUUACUGGGCGUAAAGCGUGCGCAGGCGGUUGUGUAAGACAGGUGUGAAAUCCCCGGGCUUAACCUGGGAACUGCGCUUGUGACUGCACAGCUAGAGUAUGGCAGAGGGGGGUGGAAUUCCACGUGUAGCAGUGAAAUGCGUAGAGAUGUGGAGGAACACCGAUGGCGAAGGCAGCCCCCUGGGCCAAUACUGACGCUCAUGCACGAAAGCGUGGGGAGCAAACAGGAUUAGAUACCCCUGUAGUCCCUGUCUCUUAUAU